UACGAAGGGGGCUAGCGUUGUUCGGAAUUACUGGGCGUAAAGGGCGCGUAGGUGGCCCGGUCAGUUCGUGGUGAAAGCGCGGGGCUCAACCCUGCGUCGGCCAUGAAUACUGCCGCGGCUGGAGCACUGUAGAGGCAGGCGGAAUUCCGGGUGUAGCGGUGGAAUGCGUAGAGAUCCGGAAGAACACCGGUGGCGAAGGCGGCCUGCUGGGCAGUUGCUGGACACUGAGGCGCGACAGCGUGGGGAGCAAACAGGG
rnacentral:rRNA from 1 species